rnacentral:rRNA from 1 species
GGCCGUCCGAGUUGUAGUCUGGAGAAGUGCUUUCCGCGCUGGACCGUGUAUAAGUCUCUUGGAACAGAGCGUCAUAGAGGGUGAGAAUCCCGUCUUUGACACGGACUACCAGUGCUUUGUGAUGCGCUCUCAAAGAGUCGAGUUGUUUGGGAAUGCAGCUCAAAAUGGGUGGUGAAUUCCAUCUAAAGCUAAAUAUUGGCGAGAGACCGAUAGCGAACAAGUACCGUGAGGGAAAGAUGAAAAGCACUUUGGAAAGAGAGUUAAACAGUACGUGAAAUUGCUGAAAGGGAAACGCUUGAAGUCAGUCGCGUCGUCCGGAACUCAGCCUUGCUUUCGCUUGGUGCACUUUCCGGAUAACGGGCCAGCAUCGAUUUUGACCGUCGGAAAAGGGCUAGAGUAAUGUGGCACCUCCGGGUGUGUUAUAGACUCYAGUCGCACACGGCGGUCGGGAUCGAGGAACGCAGCGCGCCGCAAGGCAGGGGUUCGCCCACUUUCGCGCUUAGGAUGCUGGCAUAAUGGCUUUAAACGACCCGUCUUGAAACACGGACCAAGGAGUCUAACAUACCUGCGAGUGUUUGGGUGGAAAACCCGAGCGCGUAAUGAAAGUGAAAGUUGAGACCUCUGUCGUGGAGGGCAUCGACGCCCGGACCUGACGUUCUCUGACGGAUCCGCGGUAGAGCAUGUAUGUUGGGACCCGAAAGAUGGUGAACUAUGCCUGAAUAGGGUGAAGCCAGAGGAAACUCUGG